rnacentral:lncRNA from 1 species
CUAUGAGGAGAGAAAAUUCAUUUUAUAAGUUUUUCAGCUACCAUGUUUUAGUGGGGUAUUUUUCUUUUUUCUUUUUUGGCUGCCGUGAAGCCAGGGAUCAGAUACGAGUGCCACUGUGACCUAAGCUGCAACUGUGACAACUGUGGAUCCUUAACCUACUGCGCGGGGCCAGGGAUCAAACCUGUGCCCCAGUGCUCCCAAGAUGCUUCCGAUUCUAUUGAGCCACAGCGGGAACUCCUAGUGGUUUUUCUUCUUCAUAUACAUUUUUGUCGAAGUAUAGUUGCUGUGCAAUAUUAUCUAAGAUUCAGGUGUGCCAUGCAGUGGUUUCCAAUUUUGCAAGGUCAUAUUCCAUGUAUAGUUAUUACAAAAUAAUAGCUACAUCCCCCAAGUUGUGUAAACAUAUGCUUGUAGCUUAUUUUCUACCCAAGAGCUGGUACCUCAGAAUCCCCUGUCCCUGUUACUCCUGCCCACCCCCGCCACCAACUGGGACCCUCUAGUUUGUUCUCUAUGUCUGUGAGUCGGCUAAGGGUGUCAUGCUUUUGAUCUGAACAUCUCAGGCCUCCUUAGGGACACAAAUGAAUUCAUCUCUUCAGCACUGCCUGUAAAGGAGGGAAGAGCAAUUCUCUGUUUUGUAGAGCUAUUUUUUGGACGUGGUUUUGGACAGACACCCAAGUGUUUAGCAGUCCAUUUACUCUCUUAUUCAUUCAACAGAUAUUUACUGGCUGCCUACUCUGUACCAAAGAGCGAACAUGAAACUCUGCCCUGCCCACGGGGACACAGCCAGCUGGGGAGACAAGAUGGGACACGCACACGAAGCUUAAAAACACCACCAAGAGCAAGGCUUCAGCUGUGGCUCUCCAAAGGAGUGGCAGAGAUGAUCGACCUGUUCCCCUGGAUUGUCCAAGAAGGAGCCACCGGGACAGCUGGUGACCCUCCCUUUCCAUUCGUCGGUCAGAGCUGGCUUCCCUCCACCUGCUCCAGCCACGGUCGGCGGCCCCUCCUGACGUUAGCAUCUCCAUUUCUGCCGCUGAGUUUUCUUUCAUCUCUUGGUUGAUCCCCGGCUUGUGUAAAUUUUCUUUUCUUUCUUUUUUUUAACCUGAUGAAUUUUUUCACAUCAUGUGGUCGUUUGGAAUGCUGUCUGGUGGGUCUCUCCUUUUACAGCCAUUCCGCAGUAUCAGGGGGGUUCAUUCCAGGACCCCCAGAGGUACCAACAUCCAUCUGAUGUCCCUCAUAUGAUGUAGUAUUUUCAUA